CGGUGUGUUGUGGAGCGAGGCCUAUUCGGCUGACUCUUAAUCAGCGGGUCCUAGGUUCGAGUCCUAGUGCGCCCA
rnacentral:tRNA from 1 species